rnacentral:snRNA from 1 species
GCCCCACGGUGGGCGCCA